rnacentral:rRNA from 1 species
UACGAAGGUCCCAAGCGUUAUCCGGAUUUAUUGGGUUUAAAGGGUGCGUAGGCGGGCUAUUAAGUCAGUGGUGAAAGCCCCAAGCUUAACUUGGGAAUUGCCAUUGAUACUGAUGGUCUUGAGUACAUUUGAGGUGGGCGGAAUGUGUCAUGUAGCGGUGAAAUGCUUAGAUAUGACACAGAACACCGAUUGCGAAGGCAGCUCACUAAACUGUAACUGACGCUGAGGCACGAAAGCGUGGGGAGCAAACAGG